AGUGAACGCUGGCGGUAGGCCUAACACAUGCAAGUCGAACGGCAGCACAGUAAGAGCUUGCUCUUACGGGUGGCGAGUGGCGGACGGGUGAGGAAUACAUUGGAAUCUACUUUUUCGUGGGGGAUAACGUAGGGAAACUUACGCUAAUACCGCAUACGACCUACGGGUGAAAGCAGGGGAUCUUCGGACCUUGCGCGAUUGAAUGAGCCGAUGUCGGAUUAGCUAGUUGGCGGGGUAAAGGCCCACCAAGGCGACGAUCCGUAGCUGGUCUGAGAGGAUGAGCGGCCACACUGGAACUGAGACACGGUCCAGACUCCUACGGGAGGCAGCAGUAGGGAAUGUUGAGCAAUGGGCGAAAGCCUGACGGAGCAAUGCCGCGUGAGUGAAGAAGGUCUUCGGAUCGUAAAGCGCUGUUAUUAGGGAAGAACAAAUGGGUAAGUAACUAUGCACGUCUUGACGGUACCUAAUCAGAAAGAAACGGCUAACUACGUG
rnacentral:rRNA from 1 species